rnacentral:rRNA from 1 species
UACGUAGGGACCGAGCGUUGUCCGGAAUCAUUGGGCGUAAAGAGCGUGUAGGCGGCUAUUUAAGUCCUGCGUGAAAUCCUGCGGCUCAACCUUUGAAUGCCGCUGGAAACUGUCUGGCUAGAGUCCGGGAGGGGCGAGUGGAAUUCCUGGUGUAGCGGUGAAAUGCGCAGAUAUCAGGAGGAACACCAAUGGCGAAGGCAGCUCGCUGGAACGGUACUGACGCUGAGGCGCGAAAGCGUGGGGAGCGAACAGG